CUGCAUGAAAAGCAAACAACCCUUUCAUGGCUCACCAAUCCCCUUCUGAAUCUCAUCACCAGAUUCCUUCUCAACCAUUGGACCUAAACAGUCCCCACCCAUCUAAAGAUAACAUCAACAUGGAGCAAGAACAAGAAGAAGGACCCUUCUUGAGCACUCGUAGCCAUGAUGAUGAUAGAGAUAAGGAUGUUACACAAAACCCAUCUGCAUCAAAAACCCUUUUUUGCAAUAAAGAGAAAGUGGCAUUGAAGGAGCCUUCACAUGCAAUGGAUGUUGCAGAAAAAACAAGCGUGGCAGAGGCUUUGGGAGAGGAUAGUGGACGUGAGAGGCUGAAGAGGCAUAGGGUUGAAGUGGCUGGAAGGGUUUGGAUUCCAGAAAUAUGGGGUCAGGAGGAGCUGUUGAAGGAUUGGAUAGAUUGCACUGCAUUUGAUGCUCCUUUAGUUCCAAGCACAAUCACCAUGGCACGUGCGGCUUUGGUUGAAGAGUGUUCAAGAGCUAAUGCUGCUGGAGUAAGAAUAGAGAACAGGGAGCCAGCCUUAUGACCCAUCAGGAAAUAGGCAAGAGGUUGCUCAAUUCAAUUACUUAUUGCUCUAGUUAUGGAAACCCUUACUCUGACAGCAAGUUGCCACAGUAAUUAGUGAGUAUCUUUUUCUGGUUUCAUUCUAUCACUAGGACUCUGAUGAUCAAGCAUACUCCCGAUACUAGAUCACCCCCGGGUAAGUAAUUUUUCAGCAAUUCUUGGGCAAAAAUGUCAAGUUUAGUUGACAGUAAUUACAAUUUACAGUCACACUCCUGACUUCCCUAAAAAAAAAAAAUACAAUAUUCCACAUCUGUUUUAAAUUAUUAAUAAAUAUAAUCAAGAGUCAAGAAAAAGAAAUAUGAAAAAGAACUAUGAGGAUUGCCUGCAUAUCUAGCAUUACUAUUAGGCUCCAACAGUAUAAAUUUCUGCUACUGACACAGCAAAUGUGAAAAACUAGAGUCACCAUUAUGAUACCAACUCCCACACCUUGAUUGUCCCAUCAUCGCUGGCGGAGGCUAGUAGCGGCUUCUCCUAUUUAGUAAGCAACAGUGUUACCAAUGGCAGAAACAGACACAAAUUCACAGAAAGCAAAAAAAAAAAAAACUGUUAUAGGUCACCAUUCUCUAAAUAUGUAAGUUCUUAUAAGCUAUUAACUUGUAUGUAGAAGGACCGACCAACAAUGUCCCAAAGCUCCGACGUAAUCGUAACUACAAAUUUUAUAUUUCUUAUACAGAUACGAAGACCUAUUCUGUCCUUUGGGUGCAAACUCUGUGACAAUACUUGUCAGUUAAACACUUUACUAGCAAUAGAAAGCCUACUAAUCACUACUACUUUUAUUAUUCUAGUACAAUACAAGUUAUUAUAGUGAAAUUUAAGAGGUUAUUAUUCAGAAUCAGACACAAUCAGACUAGAGCAUUAUCUAAUUUAGCAGUGAAAUCUACCAUUGCGCCCGCUUGAUGUUUGUGGAAAGUGAUAUUCAUUUCACUAUCAAUGUGAUUCCAUUAAAGUAGUGUCUGAGAAUCUUACCCCAGGGCUCCACUGCACCGAAUUUACAUCCAUGUCAUGGGCCUUCUCCUUCUUCAGCAGCAACUUGUACAGAGGACCACCAACCUAUGUUAUAAGGAAGAAAUAAAGCUUUGUCAAAUAUAACCUUUCUUUUCUUGGGACUUGGAUUUCAAUGUACAUAUGGAUUUAUCCCUUAAUAACAACUGCACAAAUGUAGAGAUUCAAAACACCCACAGGUUUUCAGACACCAAGAAGAGCACCUAAAAGGGAUCCAAUGCAAGUCCACAAAUAUUUUUGGAGAAACUGAGAUGGUGGAUUAUUAUAUUAAGGAAAAUUUGGAAACCAGCUGCUCCAGCUUACUAGUAACCUUGAACAGUAAUGCAACUACGCAAGAACAUCUUGCUAAUCUCUUCAAAAUACAACAUAGUUCUAAUAAAAAACUUGAUGCAGAUAAAUAAAGUUGCAAAUACAGUUAACGAAUAACUGUUUGGCCGAGUGUUCUCUGCACUUCAGUUGUAAAUAAAGAAAUAUUUGGCAGUGAUUUGUCAAGUUUUUUGCAACUUUUGUCCUUGUUAGCAUGUACAAAGAGAUCAAGAAACUCCAGGCCUAUUGAUAGGCACAAAUAGACAAUAGAAUCACGAAGAGUCCAUGAUUUAGUGAUUAAUUCUGGACAAGGAAAAGGACAGAAAAUCCCACGCUUCUCCUGUCUACAAAUUCUUCCUGCACUUUAGAUUAGAUGUAUGAAGAUAAAAUAUCUAUAUGCCCCCAAUGGCAUUCCUAGUGAGUGAAAAUUACACGUCAUACUAAACAAUGACACUUGUUCACCCCACCGGUACUCAAGAUUUUAAAAAGAGGGAUUUAGGGUAGGGAUCAACAGCUCAUGAAUAUUCAAGUUAACAUUCUCAGCUGUAGUUCCUAUAAUAUUCAAGUUAACAUCUCGCAUCUGAUAUUCAAG